UACAGAGGUCUCAAGCGUUGUUCGGAUUCAUUGGGCGUAAAGGGUGUGUAGGUGGCGCGCUAAGUCGGGUGUGAAAUUUCGGAGCUUAACUCCGAAACUGCAUUCGACUACUGGCGUGCUUGAGGACUGGAGGGGAGACUGGAAUUCCUGGUGUAGCGGUGAAAUGCGCAGAUAUCAGGAGGAACACCGGUGGCGAAGGCGGGUCUCUGGGCCGAUACUGACGCUGAGGAGCGAAAGCGUGGGGAGCGAACAGG
rnacentral:rRNA from 1 species